rnacentral:rRNA from 1 species
AUACGGAGGGUGCAAGCGUUACUCGGAAUCACUGGGCGUAAAGCGCGCGCAGGCGGCUUGAUAAGUUGGAUGUGAAAGCCUACGGCUCAACCGUAGAACUGCAUCCAAAACUGUCAGGCUAGAGUGUGAGAGAGGAAGAUGGAAUUAGUUGUGUAGGGGUAAAAUCCGUAGAGAUAACUAGGAAUACCAAAAGCGAAGGCAAUCUUCUGGAACACUACUGACGCUGAGGCGCGAAGGCGUGGGGAGCAAACAGUAUUAGAAACCCUAGUAGUCC